GACGAACCGUGCGAACGUUAUUCGGAUUCACUGGGCUUAAAGGGCGCGUAGGCGGUCUCGUAAGUCCUGUGUGAAAUCCCCCGGCUCAACUGGGGAACUGCACAGGAAACUGCUUGACUUGAGUUCGGGAGAGGGAAGCGGAAUUCCGGGUGUAGCGGUGAAAUGCGUAGAUAUCCGGAGGAACACCGGUGGCGAAGGCGGCUUCCUGGACCGACACUGACGCUGAGGCGCGAAAGCCAGGGGAGCAAACGGG
rnacentral:rRNA from 1 species